CCUACGGGUGGCAGCAGUGGGGAAUAUUGGACAAUGGGCGAAAGCCUGAUCCGGCCAUGCCGCGUGUGUGAAGAAGGCCUUCGGGUUGUAAAGCACUUUCAGUGGGGAAGAAAGCCUUGGGGCUAAUACCCUCGAGGAAGGACAUCACCCACAGAAGAAGCACCGGCUAACUCCGUGCCAGCAGCCGCGGUAAUACGGAGGGUGCGAGCGUUAAUCGGAAUUACUGGGCGUAAAGCGCGCGUAGGCGGUCUGAUAAGCCGGUUGUGAAAGCCCCGGGCUCAACCUGGGAACGGCAUCCGGAACUGUCAGGCUAGAGUGCAGGAGAGGAAGGUAGAAUUCCCGGUGUAGCGGUGAAAUGCGUAGAGAUCGGGAGGAAUACCAGUGGCGAAGGCGGCCUUCUGGACUGACACUGACGCUGAGGUGCGAAAGCGUGGGUAGCAAACAGGAUUAGAUACCCGGGUAGUC
rnacentral:rRNA from 1 species